rnacentral:rRNA from 1 species
UACGUAGGGCGCAAGCGUUAUCCGGAAUUAUUGGGCGUAAAGCGCUCGUAGGCGGUUUGUCGCGUCUGCCGUGAAAGUCCGGGGCUCAACUCCGGAUCUGCGGUGGGUACGGGCAGACUAGAGUGAUGUAGGGGAGACUGGAAUUCCAGGUGUAGCGGUGAAAUGCGUAGAUAUCUGGAGGAACACCGGUGGCGAAGGCAGCAUCCUGGACCGAUAUUGACGCUGAUGCGCGAAAGCCAGGGGAGCAAACGGG